rnacentral:tRNA from 1 species
AGGGGGUUAGCUCAAUUGGCAGAGCGACGGUCUCCAAAACCGUAGGCUGCGGGUUCGAUUCCUGCACCCCCUGCUA